UACGUAGGGUGCGAGCGUUGUCCGGAAUUAUUGGGCGUAAAGAGCUCGUAGGCGGUGUGUCGCGUCGGCCGUGAAAACCUGGGGCUCAACUCUGGGCGUGCGGUCGAUACGGGCAUCACUUGAGUUCGGCAGGGGAGACUGGAAUUCCUGGUGUAGCGGUGAAAUGCGCAGAUAUCAGGAGGAACACCGGUGGCGAAGGCGGUCUGCUGGGCAGUUGCUGACACUGAGGCGCGACAGCGUGGGGAGCAAACAGG
rnacentral:rRNA from 1 species